rnacentral:rRNA from 1 species
GGAAUAUUGGACAAUGGGCGCAAGCCUGAUCCAGCAAUGCCGCGUGUGUGAAGAAGGCCUUCGGGUUGUAAAGCACUUUCAGUUGUGAGGAAAGUUUGGUGGUUCAUACCCAUCAGAUGUGACGUUAGCAACAGACGAAGCACCGGCUAACUCCGUGCCAGCAGCCGCGGUAAUACGGAGGGUGCAAGCGUUAAUCGGAAUUACUGGGCGUAAAGCGCACGCAGGCGGUUUGUUAAGCUAGAUGUGAAAGCCCCGCGCUCAACGUGGGAUGGUCAUUUAGAACUGGCAGACUAGAGUUUUGGAGAGGGGAGUGGAAUUCCAGGUGUAGCGGUGAAAUGCGUAGAUAUCUGGAGGAACAUCAGUGGCGAAGGCGACUCUCUGGCCAAAGACUGACGCUCAUGUGCGAAAGUGUGGGUAGC